rnacentral:rRNA from 1 species
GUAGGGAAUAUUGCGCAAUGGGGGAAACCCUGACGCAGCGACGCCGCGUGAGUGAUGAAGGCCUUCGGGUCGUAAAGCUCUGUUGCAGGGGAAUAAAAAAAUGAAGGUACCCUGUGAGGAAGGAUCGGCUAACUUCGUGCCAGCAGCCGCGGUAAGACGAGGGAUCCUAGCGUUGCUCGGAAUCAUUGGGCGUAAAGAGGGCGUAGGUGGCUUGGUAAGUCAGGUGUGAAAGCCCAGGGCUCAACCCUGGAAGUGCAUUUGAUACUGCUGAGCUUGAGUGUCGGAGAGGUUACCGGAAUACCUGGUGUAGUGGUGAAAUACGUAGAUAUCAGGUGGAACACCGGAGGCGAAGGCGGGUAACUGGACGAACACUGACACUGAGGCCCGAAAGCGUGGGGAGCAAACAGGAUUAGAUACCCCUGUAGUCC